UACGGAGGGUGCAAGCGUUAUCCGGAUUCACUGGGUUUAAAGGGCGCGUAGGCGGGCGGCCAAGUCAGAGGUGAAAGCCCCCAGCUCAACUGGGGAAGUGCCUUUGAUACUGGUCGUCUCGAGGGAGAUAGGGGCGUGCGGAACUUCCGGUGGAGCGGUGAAAUGCGUAGAUAUCGGAAGGAACACCGGUGGCGAAAGCGGCGCGCUGGAUCUCUUCUGACGCUGAGGCGCGAAAGCCAGGGGAGCGAACGGG
rnacentral:rRNA from 1 species